CGUAGCUCUAAAUAAGACACGAGACUAAAUCUAUUUGUACCACGAGGCUGCAAAUCUGUAGUCUAGUCAUAUUUUUUGAACGUCGCCGUUCGUAGAGAUCUUCGAAUAUACAAAGAGUAGAAUACUACGUAAAUAUGUACAAGAAAUCUUUACAGACAUUCGUAUACAAGGGACACAAGAAGGACAAACGGAUGGACAAUAAGAAGCAAGGUCAAUGAAUUUUGAUUUAUUGACGAAUAAAAUUGAAGAUAUCGAAAACGAAGGAACGAAUUUACGAAACUUAUUUACGAAUGAUUAAAAAAAAAAAGAAAGAAAAGAAAGAAGUAACUAAUUAAUUCGGAACCUAUUUUUAAACAGCCCGCACAAAAACUCUGAGAGUCUUCUUGUUAGCCACGUACAGGUGCAUACAUAAUAACAUUGUAGAACAAAUUGUUAUACUCCAAGCUAUUAAUCAAGCUUUAUUCUAUCGGCAGAUAAUUUGUACGAUUCUCCGUUAUACUCGAUGCAUAAAUAUAAAGAGUAAUUUUUCUUUA